rnacentral:rRNA from 1 species
GUAGGGGGCAAGCGUUAUCCGGAUUUACUGGGUGUAAAGGGAGCGUAGACGGCAUGGCAAGCCAGAUGUGAAAGCCCGGGGCUCAACCCCGGGACUGCAUUUGGAACUGUCAGGCUAGAGUGUCGGAGAGGAAAGCGGAAUUCCUAGUGUAGCGGUGAAAUGCGUAGAUAUUAGGAGGAACACCAGUGGCGAAGGCGGCUUUCUGGACGAUGACUGACGUUNANGCUCGAAAGCGUGGGGAGCAAACAGGAUUAGAUACCCUGGUAGUCCACGCCGUAAACGAUGAGUGCUAGUUGUCGGCAUGCAUGCAUGUCGGUGACGCAGCUAACGCAUUAAGCACUCCGCCUGGGGAGU